UUUAACAUUCUAGCUCACUUCUGCAACUUCACUCUGUAUGUUUUAGCUUCGUUAUUAUAGCAACAGUCAGGAUACUUAUUGAUCAGACCUCGUAUAUAAGAAAAUCCAUAACGUUGAUUACCUAUCUGAUAUUGAAAUAGAAACUUUCGUAGAGAAUAGAUGACAAUUAAGCAACACAGAUAGUGACAGCAACUACACUGGUCGUAGAUUUUAAGUAAUUUUUAUAAAUAG